rnacentral:tRNA from 1 species
GGGCGUGUAGCUCAAUUGGGAGAGCAACUGCUUUGCAAGCAGAAGGUUGAGGGUUCGAGUCCCUUCUUGUCCACCA